CUGGCUAGUUACAUAACGUAUAUCAUACAAUUAACUUUACAGACUUCAAAUGUUUGUGUAACUGCACACAAAACAACAGAAAAGAGAAUAUCACACACAAUAAAAGACUUACAGACAUGUCAUGUUCAUGUAAGUGUGAGGAUAGGAAUGUUCCAUAUCUUCAGAUCAAUUCUAGAGAGAUGACAGAAAGGCUAGAAGAACUGAAACAAAACUUAACCAUAUCCAAAAACCAAACAAACCGUUACAGAAGAACGAAGACUAGCAUGUCUGACCAUCGGAUGUCAUCUGCUACUAUUGGAGUGUUCGGUGUCAUCAUCCUGACAGUUGUUGUUGGUAGCAUCCUUAUAAUCGAUAUCCCUAGGUUGCAAAGAUUGAUACAGACAAUUUUAUUUCGCAUAUAUUGAAAUUUUUGUUAAGCUAGUUCUUUCGUAUGCAAUGUGUUUACCGAAAACAAGUGAAAAAAUCAUCUUUACAUAACAAUCACAAGAGUUUCGAAAUAUUGUAU